CUUGCCCCCCCCCCCCCCCUUCUUUCUUUGAAAGCCAAAUAUUUGACAAUGAACUUUCUUUUCAGUUUUGGAAGGCUGACAAAUCAACUUUGAAAACAACUUCAUAUAUGUAAAAUGUGAGAUCACUUGCCAAACGUGAUAUUUUGGGGCAUGUUUGGGUCCUGUGCCAUAAGAGUCACAGCAAUAAUAUCCACUCUGUUUAUGGUUUGCCUGUGUGAGCAAAGUGAUCUAGCAUGUGUCUGGUUAGCUACUGUUACUGACUGAUAUCAAACCUACUUUUAUUUUCAAGCUUUUUAGUGAAAGUUUUGCAUGCUUUUUUAUUAUUUUUGCUGAAUGUCAUUGUGCAGUGAGGCUAGUUACUCAGUGCCUCCUGUGACAGGAGAAACAAGUGCUGUAGAUGAAAAAAAUUUCCUCACUGUAUGAUAGGCAUUGCUAGUGAGUAUAUGUUUUGAUCAGCCAAAAAGACAAAUAUAAGAAAACUUGGAGAAGAGGAGGAAAAAGCAUCCUGAAUAAGUAUGUAAAUCGUUCUUUAAAUUGAUGGCAGUGGGUAUAUUUGUGCAUCAUCAUUGUACACCAGCCUAAAAGCGGAGGAAACUUGAAUUACAAAAAUAAUCUUCAUUGAGUGCUCCCUAUUAUGUAUGCUUCAUCUUUCAGCAACAACAACAAAAAAAACAACAAAAUGACUGCUCCAGGAAAAGCCCAUAUCUGGCUGUCUUAAUCCUGACACCAUCCAUGCUUGAUGUGCUGUUGCUGAGACUGACUCUUACCAAAAUUUAUACCACAAACGGCAUCAGAUCAUCAGAUCUCACAUUGGUAUCCUACAGCAAAGUUGAGAACCUAAAUGGAGCACAGGCAUGCUAUCCUGAAAGAGAAAGAAGUGCUUGAAAGCUGUUCUAAACCUUCCCAAAGAGGGCAAAUAGUUUUCUAACCUUCAGCACUGAAGAAAAGACAUUGAAGAGAGAUUAUGCAAGAUGAGAUCAGCUUACGUUCCUACUGUGCUAGGAGCUGUGCAUAAAUUAAGCAGUAGCUGAAGCUCUGAGAGACAUGAGAUACCAUAAGACAUGGCAAAACCACGAGGACUGGGAAAUCUGAAUAUGCAGUCCGGGAAGCACCUGCAGAAUAGUCCAGGUAAGGUAAGUGUUAAAUCUAUGCCAGGGCCAUUUCAGACAUUUCUGUUAGUGUGUUAUUGCCAUGCACAGCUUUCGCUUAGUAAGGGUACAGAGAUGGAUUUUAUGUAAGGUAUUGUUCACAAAUAACUAAAUCACGUUAUAGUUGCCCAUGACUCUUUAUGUGACCUUUAUGGAUACUUUCUACAGAAACUUGCACAAAUAGGUUUGUUUGCUCAGAUGUUUGGGGAAUAGCUACUCUAAGGAACUAUCAGAUAUGAACAGGGGUGUUCAUAUGUGAACAAAGUAUUAUGAUUCAUUUCUGAUUAUUUCUUAGUUGUUGAUCAUUUCCGAGCUGAAUUGCCUCUUUCCCUUUUUGUAAGUAUGUGAAGACUGGCCCACCCAUGAGAAUGUGUUUAAUAAUAAUUUGUUGUUCUUCUAGUUAAACUUUAUCACCCACUUGGAAGCAUAAUCAAUACUGUAUGAAUUUGAAUGAUUAGGUUUUAUAAAUAACAAGAAAUCACUAGGGUGUAGUUUAUGUACAGACUACAAGGUGCAAUGUAUUUAUAUAAGCACUUGAUUUAUAUUUUCAAAUAAAUACACGUCCCUAUAUCAGUGUCAGUUCACAAAAGACUCUAAGCUAGAUGGCCAGUGAGUAUACAUCUGUAUAGUUUCAUUGGAGUUAGGGCAUCGUUUAAGACAGCUGAGGAUUUGACUCUUGUUCAUAAGUGGCCGCAUUGUACUUUUCUGUGCUUCAUGUGUCUGUGGUUUAUGGGCUUGUUCCUAUUAGGUCUAAUUAAAGAAACAAUUUUGGUCAUGAUAGGAGCACAUCAACACUGCUGGACUUCCAUGAAAACGUACAGAGGUCUGUACGCACAUCUUAAGUCUUGUACAUGUAUUAUUGCAGCUUUCUAUGCUAUGUAGACAUUUGUCAAGUGCUCUAUCUCCUUUAUCAUUUUAGUUGUCAUUUUCUAUAUUCAGUGUCCUGUUUGAGAAGCAGUGAUUAGAACUGCACAAAGGAACUGUGCGGAAGCUGCCCACUGAAAAAACGGGCAAAUGCUUUCAAAUAAUCUGAUAAAGAAAACCCGAAGUAUAGAAAUUACAGAAUUUAGCACUUGUCAUAUACGAUGGAUCAAUACUCUCAGAGCAUUUUUAUUCAUUUUAGAGGUUAGUAGCAUAAAAAAGGGGAUUACGUUUAAUGAAAUGUUGAUGCCAGUUAUGUUUCUGCAGUAAUGUUUCUGCAGUAGAAUCAUUAAGGAAAAUCACUGGAGAUCAUGGUUUCUUUUUUAAUGUAUUUCCUUCCAACAAAGUGUGGGGUUUUUUGUUUUGUUUUGUUUUUUUCUAAGACAAAGCAGUAAAACCAUGGUUCAGCAUGCAUUUGCGGGCAAGGAGGAAUAUUUAUUUUUAAUAUUUAGUGACAUUAUCUCAUAUGUGCUGUAAUAUUUUGAUACACAUCUUUUUGGCCAAGGUUGUGGGCCUACAUAGUUAAUUCCUGUAGUGGUCCUUUCUUUUAGCUCUAGGAAUUUUUCUAGGAAAAAGGUAUACUAAGUGGUUUAGUAUCUAAGUUAAUAUUUUUUGGCUUACAUUUCAUUGUAACUGAUAAUUUCCUACGCCAUUGUGUAUGUUGAAGCAGCAAUGACUUUUUGAAAAUUACAGCAGUGGAGAAGCAGCGUAAAUAAUCUCAAAUACUUUUGACUUCUGACCACUGAGUCUCAUGUUGCCAGACUGCUUACUGUAACGAUUGCUAUUAUAACAAUACUGUCAUUAAAAUAAUGUGCUCUGGCAUGUAAUUGGAUGUCAUUACUCCACCUGUGAAUACUGGAAGUCUUUUCCUGAGUUUAGAUCAUCUUACACACCAUUUCUCCUUGCAUACUCUUAUCUCCUCCCUUUUGUCACCUUUGCAGUCUGUCCGGCUGUCCCUAUGCUAGUCUCAGUGCUUCACAAGCAAGUACAUCCACACAGAAAUCUUCCACAGAUUCUGCUGCCAGAAGUGGCAAAGGCUUCACCAGUCACAUAUUGUAUUCUGCAUUUCAGUGGUGUGGAGCACAUCAGACAGGAAGGGACUUAUUGCAGCAAAUGGUCAGCUAUUCCUGCUUUCGUAAGCGGAGUGUUGUUGCCGCCAAGAGAAAGGGUAGCCGGAAGGCUAGGGGAAACAGAACACCACAGAGGCAUGUCUCUACUCCCAAGUAUUUCUCUCUCAUCUUGUUAUUGAAAACAGGAAAGAGAGGAUGUGGAAAAUAUCAAGGUCCUAUUGGGGAAAAGAAAAAAAUUAAGGUGAUGGAGGGGAAUAGAAGAGGAGAAGGCCCAAGGAUGGAUCUGAAAAUAAGAAAAAGGGGGCUUGUGGUUAGGUAGAGGAGAGCCAAAAAAAAAAAGUAGAAUUAGACAGAACGGGGAGAUGCUGGCUAUCUGAAGAGGUUAUGACAGAACUAGACAAAAUGCAAGAGAAGAAAAAUGAGAGGAAAAAGACAAAAGGAGCUAAGAACUUUUGGCUUUAUAAAGUAAAACAUUUUUGAAGAAAAGUGAAACUAAUCUAAAUGAGAGUGGAGGAAGCAUUAGGCACAAAUGCCAAAAAUUAAAAACAGAGGGGAAAAAGGAAA